UACGAACCGGACGAACGUUAUUCGGAAUUAUUGGGCUUAAAGGGUGCGUAGGCGGCGCGGUAAGUGAGGUGUGAAAGCCCACGGCUCAACCGUGGAACUGCGCUUCAUACUGCCGUGUUUGAGGGAGACAGAGGUAAGCGGAACUGAUGGUGGAGCGGUGAAAUGCGUUGAUAUCAUCAGGAACACCGGUGGCGAAAGCGGCUUACUGGGUCUCUUCUGACGCUGAGGCACGAAAGCUACGGUAGCGAACGGG
rnacentral:rRNA from 1 species